UCUCUCCCCCAUUUCGCCCGUGUUCUUCCCCUUCACCCCCUCUCUCUCUCUCUCUCUCUCUCUCUCUCUCUCUCUCUCUCUCUUCUCCGUGCCGUGAGGGGGGCGAUUUUCCGACGAUUCGAUCGCAUCCGCCCCGGUGCUACAGGUCGCGGGGGAGAAGGGUGGUGCGGCGUUCAGGAGAGGGUGGAAGGAGUGUGGUGGAGAACGACCGGGAGGCGUUUUCCCCGGUAAUUUCCCGGGGCGAGACCAGCGUCGGUCGGCGGAUUGCGGGCUGUUGGGGCUUCUUCGGGAGCUGCAUGUCGGAGGACGGGGCGGUGGGUGCUUCGUGAAGCUUCCGUGGUCGUUGAUUCGAGCGCGGCGCGUGCAUCGGGGACUGCCCCGCGCCACCAAGGCAUACCUCGCGGUUGGGUAACCAUGAAUACUAUCGAGGAUGAUGAAGAGGUUGAAACAGGGAAUUUAGUGCAUCGGCGGCGUAGGAGCAAACCCGCAAGGCAUGAUGAAGGUCAAGGUGCUCAACUUCAGGGAACAGCUUUAUGCACCGUCGAGAACGUACUCCAGGCUACCAACGCCGAAGAAGCUGAACCUGUAGCUAAGCGUGGCCCCACAGGACAAGAUGUUGGAAGGAAUAGGGCCUCACCAGCUAGGUUAUUCAAACUCAACAAAGAGCUAUCUUCAGAUCAGGUAGCUUUGAUCAAGGCCAAGCAUUUCGGAGGUUUACUGAAUAUAGUCCGGAUUUUGCCUAGUGAGAUGAGCAAGUGGCUUGUGAGUACAUACAGCACAGAUACAAGGGAGUUGCUUAUACCAGAGAAUGGCAGUAUCGCGGUAACAGCUAACAGCGUUUAUAGGAACUUCAAGUUGCCCAAACAGGGGUGGCAAAGUGAUUUAUAAGAGGACCCAAGAAUCUGUAAAUUUUAUAUCAAAGGAGUAUGGUCUUGAGGGGGGGAAGUCACCUGAGAUCACCGACUGGUGCAAAAUGAUAAUUGCUAUGAAUGGGAAAGCUGACGACAAAUUUCUUCGGGCCUGGCUCAUUGCAGCAAUGAGUUGCUUAUUGUGUCCAACAACCAGCCUUCACGUCAGCCUGCGGUGUUACCCAAAUUUCAUCAACCUGGACGAUGUUGUCAAUAUCAAUUUCUGCGAGUUUGUAGCUGAUCAAAUCCAUGAAGCUUGCUUGAAGCUGGGAGACAAGAACUCAGCGAAAUGUUGCGUGUAUCAUUUGCUGCUAAGCAUCUUUUUUUCCCAAAAUCUUGCUUGUUUUUUAUAAUCUUGCUUUUUUAUCUAGCAGCAACGCUAUUUUUCAAAUUACUGCAUCUUUUUGCUUUUGUUUGGCAAGCAUUAUUCAUUUUUGUCUGCCAUGCUGCUCUGUGCAGAUAUUAUAUCUCGACUCACUUGACAUCGAUGAGGAUGUGAGCAACUGCCCUGUCCGUGCAGAGGCAUGGACAACUGAGCUCAUAAACAAAGUUGUCCAGCUAGAUAUGAAGCCAGACGGAGGGUAUGGAAAACUGAAGCUCAAAGCUAACCGUGGCGCUGCAACCGACACUGUUGUAGCUAAUAACAAUAGCUUGUUCAAGGGCUUGGCACACGCCGAAAAUUUUGUGUCCUCAAAGUUGCCUGCUACAUACAACCCCACUAAAAAAAAGGAAAAUUGCUUUAAUGUUGGAAGAGUUUUGCACAGACAUUUCACAUAAGCUGGGCAAGUUUGUCGAGGGUAUCGGCAAGCUACAUAAUGAAGAAAUGAAAGAAAGCAAUGAAGAAGCACCCAAAAAAAGAAGGCAACGAAAUCCAGCAGCUGCAAAAGUUGUGAAGAAGAAAAAAGCAACUCAGAACGAUGCUCAGCAGGGGCAAGACGCAACGACUGAUGUCAAAGAUACUGAAGAUGUGGAUGAGGAAAAAGAGCAAGACGACGACAACGACGAUGAGGUCGCCAGUGAUGGUUAUCACGGGCCUGACAGGGGCGAUGACGGUGAUGGUGGCCAAGUUAGUCAGGCUAAAAGCAAGGGCACAGGGCAGACUGACGCCAUUUUGGGCAGCUGGUUGAGGAAUUCAACAAAAACAAAGGGCGACAACGUUGGCAGUCCUUCCAAGACGACCCCUUCCAAGCCGACCCCUUCUAACGAGACACCUGGGAGAAAAAAGCAAGAGUCUAGCUCACUCUCUCAUGCAAUUGCAGAGCCCCACAGAGAGUUUUUGAACUCGGUUUUUGCUGAUCAACCAUCAGCGGUUGAGCAACCUUCGGAUCAGCUACAGAAGAUAUGCCCGGAAACCCAGCAAAACAAGCUAUUCAAUGAAUUUGUCACCAAGGACCCAUCUCCAGCUGAAUGCAAAGGCACAGAAGUUCAAGAGCCAGAAGCUAAGUGCAGAGUAGUAAUGCCUGUCAGCAAAGACAAGGGGAAAAGCGCAGCCAGACGUGCAUCAGCAAAAACAGUUAAAAUUGCUAGAAAGUUCAAGAAGAUAGCUUAUCAUACGGUUUUGACUCUCCCUGUUGUCGCAGUCACAGAAGGCAUCCCAAAUGCUGCAAAAGCAACUUCUGCUAAUACAAAUAAGGGAUCCCAAGUCCAUAAGGGAAUAGGAAGGGCUUCAACCGAAUCUGCAAACAACGAAUCACAAGUUGUUGAGGCAAUUGCAAUGAAGGGAGCAACCCAGAAUGUUGCAGCUGUGAACCUAGGCGGUCAAGGCGUUGACCUGAUGCAAAUUCCUCAAGCAAGGGUUAAUGAGCAAAUAGCAAGCACAGCCUCUGUUGAUUCUAAGAAGCAAGUUUCAGCGAUGUCGCAAGGCUGCCUUGCUGAUCAGGCAGCACCAGCACAAGAUGGUCUAAAAGGAGAAGAAGUGGCAUUUGUUGAAGGACGGUCACUUAUACGAGCUGCAGGGCCACCUGGCCAUCAACCUAGGAAACCUACCGAAAAUAUUUGUGCUCCACCGACACCUUCUGCAGUAGCCAUUGAUGCUUCUUGCGCAGGUCACAAUGCGAUUAAUCGGGCCAACUCAGCUGGAUCUGUCCACUCCGACCAUUUAUGUGGAAGCAACUUACCUUCCUAUCCAAUCCAGAAGAACAAGUCUCGCGAUUUUUUCAAUGGCAUGGAUUUUGCACCACCACCAUUUGACCUCGGGUUCGGUAGCCAACCUGAGCCACCACAGACUAUAGGUGGUCCAGCUAUCAGUGCUAAAGGAAUAGCAGUGGGCAAAUUUUCUCUGAAUAGUGGCACUGCUGCCUGUGCCUCUACAUCGCACGGACACACGGUCAUCGAUGAUGAAUGGGAUGAUGCUAUGGUCGUGGAAGCAUGCGCCUUGGCAGAUCGGAUCGACCGUGAAAGGGCAACGGGAGCAGUUACAGUGGACCAGGAAGCAGUUGUUGAUCUGAGCACACCACCUGAAGGCAAAGCUGUGCUAGGAUUAAUGAGUCUCCCCCGUACCAGAAGCAGUUCAGGUGCAAUUCCAAAGCCAAAAAUGGCAAACGCAAUAAUUGAUCUUUGUACACCACCACCACCAGCCAGGAGUAUUGAGGGGAAAGAGAAUUUUGGUAGCAUUUCUGCUAAAAGUAGUUCUAGCUCUGCACCACAACAGGGUCCCGAGCGGAGGGCUAUAAAACCCCCUGCUUGCAAAAGGCCUCCAUUUGUUGACAUUGAGUCGAAGGCAACCUACCAGUGUUCAAACGAUGUGAAAGAAGUUUAUGCAGCAGUUCUUGCCACUGGUAGGAGGAACACAAGGGCGAAAGUAACUGAUGAAAGAAGAUGGAUUGGUCAGGGAAUGAAAUAAAGAAAAAGUUUGCCAGGGACAACACACAUCUGGACCGCAUGGACAUGGUCAUGUUCCCUAUGUUGCAAUCUCUGGAUCCAAAGGAGCCUCAGGAUUCAAACCACUAUUGGCUCUUUAAUCUGAAAUUAGGGACAGGAGAUAUGAAAAAUUUUAUUCACUGAGGUCGCUUCACGACAAAAGCUUGAAUAAUUGUGCAAAUACUGUCGUGGCAUGCAUUACAUGCUUGUGGAAAGCACAUUAUGGCAAAUCAAAAGUGCAAGUUGACAAUUUCAGUUGGUAUGAUGGCGGGGGCUGAAGCAAGAAAAUUUACAUGACUGUGGCGUAUUCAUGCUCACAAACGAUGAUAUGUGGGACGGGAGGAACCCUCUCAACUAUUCACAGUCAAACAUAGCGAACAUAAGGAAGUUGCUCACCCAUGCUUGGCUCAACUCGAAGGAAAACGAAAUAGACUGGAAAAUAGUCCUAAAGAUCAAGGCAUAGGAACUGCUUUUUUGAAGAGAUUGAUUUGUACAUAUGGCAGAAAGCAAGGGAUGCAAAAUGAUGCAAUCAGGACCCAUCAUGCUUCUCUGAAGAGAUGGAUUUUCACUGGUAGUGUACUGUCAAGCUUGAAGUGUGAAUAUGAGAACCUGAGAAUAGCCUAAUGUUGAAAACUGUAGGGAUGGCUGAAGCUUUUUGUGCUUCAUGCUAACAUGCUAUGCUUGGGAUGUUGCUUUAUACAUACAACUAGCAACUAUUUGUGUCCUUUUUGUUGCUUUGUACAUACAACAGCACUGGAAUCAACCACCCCCAAACACCAUGAUGAAUACUGUUGUUUCCAUAUGCAAGUUUCACGGAACCUGUGUAGGGGAGUAAGAGUUUGCUUUCUA